UGAGCAACCUACCCUUGACACUGGAAUAACAGUUGGAAACAGCUGCUAAUACCGGAUACGACCUUCGAUGGCAUCAUCUGGAGGUGGAGAGCUCCGACGGUCAAGGAUGGGCUCGCGGCCUAUCAGCUUGUUGGUGAGGUAACGGCUCACCAAGGCUUCGACGGGUAGCCGGCCUGAGAGGGCGACCGGCCACACGUGGGACUGAGACUACGGCCCAGACCUCCGUAGGA
rnacentral:rRNA from 1 species